UGGGGAAUAUUGGACAAUGGGCGAAAGCCUGAUCCAGCCAUGCCGCGUGUGUGAAGAAGGUCUUCGGAUUGUAAAGCACUUUAAGUUGGGAGGAAGGGCAUUAACCUAAUACGUUAGUGUUUUGACGUUACCGACAGAAUAAGCACCGGCUAACUCUGUGCCAGCAGCCGCGGUAAUACAGAGGGUGCAAGCGUUAAUCGGAAUUACUGGGCGUAAAGCGCGCGUAGGUGGUUUGUUAAGUUGGAUGUGAAAUCCCCGGGCUCAACCUGGGAACUGCAUUCAAAACUGACUGACUAGAGUAUGGUAGAGGGUGGUGGAAUUUCCUGUGUAGCGGUGAAAUGCGUAGAUAUAUGAAGGAACACCAGUGGCGAAGGCGGCCACCUGGACUAAUACUGACACUGAGGUGCGAAAGCGUGGGGAGCAAACA
rnacentral:rRNA from 1 species